ACUACAGCAUGGUUUUCUAUUUUGUCAUGAAAGAGUUAACAUCUGGUUCUCUUUUGCAACGGUUUGUUGAUGGGGAUGACGAGUUCCGUAAUAGUAGAAUGAAGCUCAUCCCGUCUGUGCCAAAGGGCUCAUGGAUUGUGCGUCAGAGUGUCGGAAGUACUCCUUGUUUACUGGGGAAGGCAGUUGACUGCACCUAUAUCCGCGGUCCCAAGUAUUUGGAAAUUGAUGUUGAUAUUGGUUCUUCCACUGUCGCGAAUGGAGUUUUGGGGCUUGUGAUUGGUGUAAUUACGAGCCUAGUAGUUGACAUGGCUUUUCUUGUACAGGGAAACUCUCCCGAUGAGUUGCCUGAGCAACUAAUAGGCGCUGUACGUGCAUCUCAUAUAGAACUCUCAGCUGCUGUUGUACCAAAAUUGGAGCCUGAUACUACAGAGUAGGUCAAACCACACACAUAGUUCACCUUCUUCAGAAGUUGAUUCUUGAAACAUACGUAUACAUAGAUGUAGUUCCUUUCUAUUUUCGUUCAUCGUGUUCUUAAAAUUUGUUUCAGCUCAGAAUGGAACUAAGUCUGUUUAUAGACGUCGACUUCAUUAAAUUCUUUUUUUUUUCUGUUCUCUUUCGAUUAUCAGUAAGAGCAAUGAACUAUUGCCUUAUUUCCAG
rnacentral:misc_RNA from 1 species